UAUAUGCAAGCUAAACAUAUCGGUAUGAGGUUAUACACUCAUAUUGUUGAGCUUGAUCCGGUAGACUUUAUUCAGUAAGCUGCAUUUAGGUGUGGAGAAGAAUCACUGUUUAUCAUUGUUUUGAUGAUUUGAAAAGGACUGUCGACAGCAAUCUUCUUCUGUCAGUUUAUUAGCCUUCUCCCUCAUCUUGUGUUCCUAAGUCUGAGAAAAUGUCUCGUCAAAUCGUUCUCAUGACUGGCUGCUCAGCGGGUAUUGGUCUUGCCACAGCUAAACAUUUCUCAUUGGACCCCGAUCAGCGAUACAUCGUCAUCGCUACCAUAAUCGCGAUGUCAGAGAAGAACGAUUUGGUGACUGCUGUAGGGGACGCUCUAAACAAAACAAUUUUUAUUGAGGAAUUAGACGUGACGAGGGAUACUGACAUCACAACUGUAGUUGAGAGAACCCUCAAAGAAUACGGGAGAAUAGAUAUCCUUCUCAAUAUCGCCGGUAUCUGUUCCGUCAGUAUUCCCGAGCGGAUGCCGAGGGACAUGAUGGAGAAGAUGUUCAACGUGAAUGUGUUUGGUGCGAUUAGACUCACUCAGGCAGUCUUACCUCAGAUGAAACGAAGAAAGACGGGAAAGAUCAUCGUCAUCUCAAGUAUAGCAGGAAGGACAGCAUGGCCCUAUUUAGAAGUAUACAGCUCGAACAAAUUCGCAUUGGAGGGAUACUUUGAAGCCCUUGCUGUUGGUUUACGUGCAUUCAAUAUCAGAGUUUGUCUCGUCGAGCCUGGAGGAGUUAAAACUUACAUAUUGAGAGAAUCAAUAAAAAGCAUCGAACAUUUACUCCAAGAUGGCUCCAUCGAAGAAAACGAUCGUCGUCAGCUCGAAGGAUUGGCGGGUAUAAUCGCCGAAGAUAAGGGCCCCACCAAAGUCACGUCUGAAACUGUCGCCGAGGCCAUAAUGACAAGGUGUAUUGACCUUGAGAAACCGGCGUUGAGGCAUUUCCUUGCAGAGGAGUUUUACGAGAACGUACAAGCAGGGCUGGCAGAUAUGACUGGAGAAAAGGCUGUCGCGAGUUCGCAGGGAAUGUUCUGAUUUCUACACAUCUUCACUGCAGUUUCAAUUGACAGAAGUUCCUGAAACAAAGUUUCGAACACACCUGUAAUCUUACUGUACUCUGUAAUCUUACACUAAUGCUUAAUAUUACAGAAAAUUGGUAUUUGUUGUAUGGAACCUUACAAAUUUCCUGUAAUCAUGGGUAAUAAAAGUGCUUCUUUUUCCUUUUUCUAAAGACCUGAAUUGCAGAAAAUGUCCUAUUAUAACAAUGAUAAAGAAUAAUUCUGUUUAUUUUCCUUUUUCUUCUGUUCUUUAAAAUACUUUCUGUUAAAUCUAUUUUUUAUACAGUGUAGUAUAUGGGGAAGAAUGACUACCUUUUUUAUAGGUGGACAGAGAAAGUUCCCUAUAAGUUUACUCCAAUAGUUUUCAUCGCACGUCGACAUCCACCUGCGAUUGUUAAAGGUCAAGUCUACCCCAGAAAAAUGUUGAUUUGAAUGAAUAGAGAAAAAUCAAACUAGCGUGACGCGGAAAUUUUUUAUCAAAAUCGAAUAUAGAAUAAGAGAGUAUAUGACAUUUCAAAGUUUUGCUUAUUUUUAACAAAACAGUGAUAUGCACAAUUCAUUGACAUGCAAAUGAGACAGUCAAUUUUUUCCUUCACUCACUAUUUUUUUUGGGAAUAAUACAAUAUUACAUUUUUUACAUAUUUGAUAACAAGGACCAAGUUGACUAAACAAUAUUAAACAAUGCUAAUUUCAUAUGUUCAGGGAGGAAUUAAUCGUUGUUUCACUUGAUAUGGAUUUUUUAGUAAUGCUUACCUUGCUUGGGACUCGAACUCACCUCGUUGUAACUGCAGUCAAGACCUCUUCCCGCUCUGCUGGCGAGAAGCAAUGAUACCGGAAGUGAUUUUUAAGCGAUUAUGUGCCGAUAGUUCGAGUAAUCUAGACUUACAGACCCGUUACUGAUUAAAUAAACCUAUGUCUAUGAACAAUUACACACACUCGAUCCUGCUCGAAAAAAAUUGACGGAAUAAAGCCAUAUUUUAAUUGGUACUCAUUUCCACUCUCGCAACAUAUAUGUUUUAUAUUAGGACUAGAUAUAUUAUUUUGAACUUUUUUCAUAUUAAAAAAAAAAUUUAUUGGGGGUACACACUCUUCCCCAAAUUAGCACCUAUAAGGUGCAAAGUUAAACCUAAGACUGCCAUGGAUCCUAUCAGGAUUCACCGUGCCUGGCCGUCCGCAAUGUCCGUUUGGCCAAGUGGGUUACGGAAUUCUUCUGUGCUGCACAUAAUCAGAGUCAGUAUUUGAACUGACUUCUAACUCUACCUUUAAUUAGGCAAUAAUUAUUUGGCACAAACAGGAAAGAAAUGGUGGAUCGUGUGCAUGGGGUAAGACACCUAUAAUUGCAGUUAUUGAAACGCUAAAAUGACUAUCUUUGCCAAAUGACCUGAUUCCCCGAAUAAAACUUAAAAGAAAAAGCUUAGACCACUUUUCUUACAAUUAAUCUUACCGAAACAGUCACGACAAACGUAACAUAUUCAGAAAUAUUCAAAUUAUGCAAUUAUUUUGUUAAUUCAAAGACCCCUCAGCACGUACGAUUUAUAAGCAGAUGGUUCCCAGACCCUGUAAACUCAUUACUAUAUUUUAGGCGCAAUUUCGCAAGUAAAAACGUAUGCCAGACACACUCUUACACACACACACAAACAAGAUAAGUAUUUUUUCAUUGCUGAACAGGUUCAACUUUGCAAGUAUUUUUGAUAAGGAUGACAGGAACCUAGACUAUAUGCGAGGUUCGAAAUUGCACCCAAACCACCCGCUGUGGGCCUGGGCCUGCGCAGGCGCGGUGGCUAGUGAAAGGUGCAACUAUAUGCUCGAAUACUUGCUCUGUACUUUUUCCCGCAAAGUUGCAUCUUAAAUUCUUGCACCCCUAUUUCUUAGUGUGAAUGUGCAACUCGAGACGAAAUGUUACCUUUUUUCUUUUCCAUGACAACGAUAAUGGUUUAUAAAUGUAUCCACAAAUUAGUCCCCUCAAUUCUUGCAAACAGAUUUACUUUUUACGAUGAUACAGCAGAACGAACCACGCGCAAUUUUAUUCAAGUUAAAUCAUAAGCUACUAGAGGUAGAACAGAAUAUUACAAACGGUCAUUUGUUAACGCGGGCAUAGUCCAGUGGAAUAAUCUCACAGUUAAAAUUCGACGCUCCCCUAAUCUGAACAGUUUCAAAAAUAAUCUGUAAACAUUGACAAAUCAACUCCAUACUACUACUUACACCCACUCUAUUAAAUUUAACUAUCAAUGGGUCAUACAAUUUUCAGUCUUUUUAUCUUGAUUCCUUGAUUUGAUGUUGAUGGUAUAUAGUAGAUUAUGUCAGAUAAUGUUGAUGUCUAUUUGAUAUCGCACAUAUGUAUUUUAUAAUUUUAGUAUUUGUAUCUAUGGAUGCAUAAGUACUGAGUGAGAAAACUGCAUUUUUCCGCCUGUCACUUGUAAAGAAAUAAUUGAAAUAGUUUGUAAAUUGAAAAAGAAUUCCAGUCCUGGUUUUGAUAAUUUACACAUAUCUGUUGUUAAACGUGUCAUUCAUGUCAUUUGUGUUCCUCUUUGUAAAAUCUUAAAUAUGUCUAUAGCUAAAGUUGUAUUUCCUGAUAAAAUGAAAAUAUCUAAAGUAAUUCCAGUUUUCAAAGGUGGUGCUGAUAAUGAUGUAAGUAAUUAUAGACCCACAUCUGUUCUUCCUGUCUUUUCUAAAAUUCUUGAAAAGUGUUUUUACUCCAGGUUAUAUGAAUUUCUUGAAAAAUGUAAUAUCAUUUCAGAACAUCAGUAUGGUUUUAGACCGGGGCAUUCCACGUCUUCUGCACUUCUUGAGCUCAUCCAUAAAGUUAGCAAUUGUUUUGACAAGAAAGAAAUUAUGUUGGGUUUAUUUCUUGAUUUGUCAAAAGCCUUUGAUACUCUCGAUCAUUUUAUUUUGUUACACAAGCUCAGUAAUUAGGGUAUAAGGGGUGUGUUAUUAGAUUGGUGUCAGAGCUAUUUCAUUGAUCGUAAACAGUUUGUAUAUGUUAACAAUAUUACUUUCGAAACAGAAUGCAGCAAAUGUGGAGUGCCCCAGGGUUCAAUUUUAGACCCGUUGUUAUUUCUUAUUUAUAUGAAUGAUAUAUACAAUGUAUCGUGUCAUCUUGAUUUUAUUCAGUUUGCAGAUGAUACCAGUGUUUUCAUGUCACAUACAAACCCACAGUUACUAAACGAUAAGUUCAAUAGUGUAUUGGUACCUUUAGAUAAAUGGUUAUCUUUAAAUAAACUAGUACUUAAUAUUAAAAGAACAAAUUACAUGAUAUUUACGAAUAAGCAUUUACAUACACAAUUUAAUGUAAAUAUGGGGAAUAAAAACAUUUCAUUAGUAUCUUCAUUAACUUUUUAGGGGUGAUAAUAUACAACAAAUUAACAUGGCAUGAACACAUUGGUAUCAUCUGUAACAAAGUUUCCAAAGGAGUUGGUAUUAUCAACAGAUUACGAUUCUUGCCAAAAUCCAUAUUGAUGACUAUAAAGUGCAAUUAUUUUACCUUAUUUAAACUAUUGUAAUAUAGCCUGGUGUAAUUCAAAUAGCUCAUGUAUAAACAGACUCUUCUUAUUGCAGAAAAAGGUUGUCCGUAUCAUUACAAAGUCCUCUUAUCUCCCACUCGAAGCCACUUUUUUUCUCAAUUACAGAUUUUGAAUAUUUAUGAUUUAAAUCUCUAUAAUAUUGGAAUUUUUAUGUAUCUUUGUUGCAGAAAUAAAAUUCCUAUUCAAAUUUAUUGACUUGUCGAAGGCGUUUGACACAAUUAAUCAUAACAUACUUUUAUCAAAACUAACUAUGGUAUUCGUGGAACUGCCCUCGACCUUUUUUCUAGUUACCUCUCAAAUCGUAAACAAUGCACCGUUUAUAACUCCGUUCAGUCUGAAUUUAAGACAAUUAAAUGUGGAGUACCACAAGGGUCAUUGCUUGGCCCACUUUUGUUUAUUAUAUUUAUUAAUGACAUUUAUCGUUCGUCAAAUCUCCUUUCCUUUAUCAUGUACGCCGACGAUACCAAUAUUGUUUAUUCUGAUAGAAAUCUUCAUCACUUGUGUGAAACUGUAAAUACUGAACUAACAAAUGUUUGUAAAUGGUUUUGUGCAAACAAGCUUACCAUUAACUAUAAAAAAUGCAAUUACAUAUAUUCCGUAACUCCACAAGGCGUAUUGAUUUUAAUCAUGUAGUGGUGAAACUUAACAACCAAAUUAUUCCCAGAGUUGAAAAUACAAGGUUUCUUGGCGUUAUUAUUAAUAGUAAUUUAACAUGGAUACAUCACAUAAAUGAAAUUGAGAACAAAGUUGCAAAAAAUAUUGGAAUAAUACAUCGCCUAAGUUUUUACUUGCCUAAAACUAUAUUGCGUACAUUAUAUUGCUCUUUAAUCUUGCCAUAUUUUUAUUACUGUAAUUUGGUCUGGGCGAACACAUACCAAACCCAUCUUAAGAAAUUAUGUUCCCUUCAAAAUGAAAUUGUGCGUAUUAUUUCUCCAGAUUACAAUAUACCACUAGCAAAUACUAAAAAUUUGUUUCAUUCCCUAAAAUUGUUGAAAUUAGACGACAUCAAUAAACUUCAAUAAUGUCAGUUUCUCUACAGGUGUUUAAAUUCUCAAAUUCCACACAAAUUUCGUGAUUUGUUUACGCAUGUUUCCAACAUACAUAAUUUUGAUACCCGCUCAAAUAAUCAAAUAUUAAUUCCCAAAUAUAGAAAAAUUAUCUUUCAACACAACAUUCGUUAUACUGGCCCCAAAAUAUGGAACGAAAUACCGGAUUACAUAAAACAAUCUCUAUCGUCAACUAGCUUUAAGUAUAAAAUGAAAAAAACUGCUUCUGUCAUUUUAUAUAUGAAUAUUUUCCAACUUACGAUUCCUUUUGACUUUAAGUUAACAUGAACCAUGGACAAUUGUUGUUGCGGCAUUUAUAUUUUGCCCCCACUGAUACAUUUGUUGAGCAUUCUAUUUUAUACAUUAAUUCAUGCCCGCCUCCCGCUCACGUCUCCCUCUCUCGUUCCCUUUCCUUCUUUUCUUUUCUCUGCCCUUUCUUUUGUAUUGUAUUUUGUAUUGUAUUUCUGUCUAUAGGCGUAUAUAUCCCGUCACAAGCCUCGGCUUUUAGGGUAUACGCCUUCUUCUUUAUACCAAACAUGUACACAUUUAUAUUCCUCAUAACAAUUUGAUUUUUGUAUGAACUAAUGUUUAUGAAAAAUGUUUUGAAAUGGAAGAAAAUAAAUGUUUAUUUGAAUUGAA